GCUACCAUGCAGUCGAGCGGUAACAUUUCUAGCUUGCUAGAAGAUGACGAGCGGCGGACGGGUGAGUAAUGCUUGGGAACAUGCCUUGAGGUGGGGGACAACCGUUGGAAACGACGGCUAAUACCGCAUAAUCUCUACGGAGCAAAGAGGGCUUAGGCUCUCGCCUUUAGAUUGGCCCAAGUGGGAUUAGCUAGUUGGUGGGGUAAUGGCUCACCAAGGCGACGAUCCCUAGCUGGUUUGAGAGGAUGAUCAGCCACACUGGAACUGAGACACGGUCCAGACUCCUACGGGAGGCAGCAGUGGGGAAUAUUGCACAAUGGGCGCAAGCCUGAUGCAGCCAUGCCGCGUGUGUGAAGAAGGCCUUCGGGUUGUAAAGCACUUUCAGUCAGGAGGAAAGGUUAGUAGUUAAUACCUGCUAGCUGUGACGUUACUGACAGAAGAAGCACCGGCUAACUCCGUGCCAGCAGCCGCGGUAAUACGGAGGGUGCGAGCGUUAAUCGGAAUUACUGGGCGUAAAGCGUACGCAGGCGGUUUGUUAAGCGAGAUGUGAAAGCCCCGGGCUCAACCUGGGAACAGCAUUUCGAACUGGCAAGCUAGAGUG
rnacentral:rRNA from 1 species